CGGCGUGUAGCUCAGGUGGUUAGAGCGCACCCCUGAUAAGGGUGAGGUCGGUGGUUCAAGUCCACUCAGGCCUACCA
rnacentral:tRNA from 1 species